AGAGUUUGAUCCUGGCUCAGGAUGAACGCUAGCGGCAGGCUUAAUACAUGCAAGUCGAGGGGCAGCACGGGUAGCAAUACCUGGUGGCGACCGGCAAACGGGUGCGGAACACGUACGCAACUUUCCUUCAACUGAGGAAUAGCCCAGGGAAACUUGGAUUAAUACCUCGUAAUAUUAUGAAGUGGCAUCACUUUAUAAUUAUAGCUCCGGCGGUUGAAGAUGGGCGUGCGCCUGAUUAGGUAGUUGGCGGGGUAACGGCCCACCAAGCCUACGAUCAGUAACUGGUGUGAGAGCACGACCAGUCACACGGGCACUGAGACACGGGCCCGACUCCUACGGGAGGCAGCAGUAAGGAAUAUUGGGCAAUGGACGCAAGUCUGACCCAGCCAUGCCGCGUGGAGGAUGAAGGUCCUCUGGAUUGUAAACUUCUUUUAUUUGGGAAGAAACCCAUAUUUUCUAAUGUGGUUGACGGUACCAGAUGAAUAAGCACCGGCUAACUCCGUGCCAGCAGCCGCGGUAAUACGGAGGGUGCAAGCGUUAUCCGGAUUCACUGGGUUUAAAGGGUGCGUAGGUGGGCAGGUAAGUCAGUGGUGAAAUCUCCGGGCUUAACCCGGAAACUGCCGUUGAUACUAUCUGUCUUGAAUAUCGUGGAGGUUAGCGGAAUAUGUCAUGUAGCGGUGAAAUGCUUAGAUAUGACAUAGAACACCGAUUGCGAAGGCAGCUAACUACAC
rnacentral:rRNA from 1 species